rnacentral:rRNA from 1 species
CCUACGGGUGGCAGCAGUGAGGAAUAUUGGUCAAUGGACGCGAGCCUGAACCAGCCAAGUCGCGUGAGGGAAGACGGUCCUAUGGAUUGUAAACCUCUUUUUUCGGGGAGCAAGAGACGCCACGCGUGGCGUUCCGAGAGUACCCGAAGAAAAAGCAUCGGCUAACUCCGUGCCAGCAGCCGCGGUCAUACGGAGGAUGCGAGCGUUAUCCGGCUUUAUUGGGUUUAAAGGGUGCGCAGGCGGAAGAUCAAGUCAGCGGUAAAAGUGAGAGGCUCAACCUCUUCGAGCCGUUGAAACUGGUUUUCUUGAGUGAGAGAGAAGUAUGCGGAAUGCGUGGUGUAGCGGUGAAAUGCAUAGAUAUAACGCAGAACUCCGAUGGCGAAGGCAGCAUACCGGCGCUCAACUGACGCUCAUGCACGAAAGUGUGGGUAUCGAACAGGAUUAGAGACCCGAGUAGUC